rnacentral:lncRNA from 1 species
GUGAGAGUCUUCAUGUACAGAUAUCUCCCCACAUACACGGGGGUCACAUUCCCGGGUACCGCGUGUAUAUGUGAAAUUGCAUACACCAUAUAAGAAACCUGUAAGCACCCUCUAAACCUCUGGAAACCCUUGAAAACCCCUUUUAUAAACCAGCAGCACUUAGAAGACUCCACUACAAUCACUCCCUCCAAACCUCCUUUCUUGAACUGCAACUCCUCAAAAGUCGGUGCAAAGGCUCCUAGAAUUGCAGUUGCAAAGGCUUCUGGGAUUGCUAGCCAUUUCCCCACUCUUUUCAUGCCAUUUUUGCUGUUUUCCUGCUCUUUUUGGGCCAUUGUUUGCCCUUUUCACACCUUCUUGCAGAUUAAAUCGAUUUAUUUAAUCCUUUCCCGGUGCCGCAAAUAUACUCGGUCACACACGAGUCAAAUGCACUUAACUGGGGAGGCACCUGUAGUUGCAGGAUGUCCAAAUAUGCACCAUACAUUUUAAAACAUGUUUACACUACUUUAAUGGUCAUGGCUUCCUUCAAAGAAUCCGGGGAAACAGAGUUUGUUAAUGGUGCUGAGCGUUGUUAGGAGACCCCAUUCCUCUCAAAGAGCUACAAUUCCCUUUGUGGUUUAACCACUCCUUCUUUGCAAGGAACUCUGGGAAUGGUAGCUCUGGGAGGGGCAUCAGUACUUUUUACCCCUUUCUCAUACUCCAAGGACUCAGCUACAUUAGUCAAAAAACAGUGUUUUGAAUGCGUUAUAAACAUGCAAAACCAGACGGCGCUGGAGGGGGGAGAAAUUCUAUGCAAUUUUCCAUAGCGUUUUUUUCCCUCCUUUCGCAGUAACGAUUUAAUUUUUGACUUAUUUAUAGCAUUUUUCCGCCUGUGUGUAGAUCUACCCUAAGCCAGCCUCCCACUUCCUGGUGCCCUCCAGAUCUUUUGGACUACAAAUUUCACCAUCCCUGAAUAUUAGAUAUGGCUGCUAGAGUUGAUGGAAUUUGUAGGCCAAAACCUCUGAAGGGCACCAGGUUGUGGGAAGGCUGUUAUUGUUCAUUAUUCAUCUUUAUCCUCUUAGCAAGCUAAAAGAGACCCUGCGAGAUCGACGAAAGAGGGGAUCUACAGGUACCGUAGUCAUUUUAUUGAAGCAGAGAUGAAAAGAUGAUGGUCUACAGAUUUUUGUAUUAGUCUGGCUAUGGGGGUGAUAGAGCUUUAAAUCAAAGGAUUAGGGCCGAUAAUAUUGUUGGGACUGUCUGGCCUUCCAACCUUGUAGCUCUAUGGUUAGUCAGCUUCCACCACUGCAGCCAGACACAUCUAUCCACAACAUGAUUGCUUUCUUGACACUUUGUACAGAAUGCACAUUGCAUGAAAUUCCUCCUGGCUUAGGACUCUCUUCAGAGAUGUAAAAGUAACCAAGGAGAUAAUUCUGUAGUCUUGCCUUAAAGGCACAGAGAAAAAUCGUCAGAAGAACCAUCAUAGCAUUUCGGCUUUCUGGCCAUUAUGCCCAAGGCAAUAAAUUUCUCCUCUACCUUAUAAAAUAGGAAAGGUGGCUUUUAGAAAGUAAUGUGUCAUGCUGUAUAUUACAUGAAAUAAAAUAUCCUUGCCCAGUGCACAGAGAGUAUUCAGCAGAUGCGAUAAAAUACAUCUCCAAGCCUGUUGGGAUAAACAUAUAAGCAACAUUGCUUUAUUUAUGUCUCAGCUCAAAAAGUCAGUUUUGUGCUUCAUUUGUGGGAAGUGCUAGAAAUCAAAAUAAAAAAUAAAAGCUUUAGACUUCUGUUCUACACAUUUGUAUGUCACAGGGACUUACUUCUGAGUAGACAGGUACAGGAUUGCACUGUUAAGAAGUCACUUCAAAGCAAAUGUAGAAGACAACAUAGCAUUUUUCUUUUUCUCAUCUUCAAAAGGAAUCUCCUUUUCAGUUUAAACUUGCUGGCAUAGAAUCAUAUUAUGGUAGAGUUGAAAGGGACCCAGAGGGUCAUCCAGUCCAACUCCCUGUGAUUCAGGAAUCUCAGCUAAAGCACCCAUGACAGGUGGUCAUCCAAUCUCUGCUGAAAAACCUCCAAGGAAGGAGGGUCCACAAUCUCCCAAGGGAUUCCAUUCCACCAUUGAAUAGCUCUUAUCAUCAGAAACUUCUUCCUUAUGCUUUGCAAACUGCUUAGAUGUCUAUUUUUGCAUUCGAUAAUAAACCUAUAAAUAAAAUAGCAGCUACUGAUGAAUAAUACGAGUGACUUUCAGAAGGCUACUUAAAGUGGGGCAGCCGUUCCUUAUUCUCAGUUCAUAAACCUUAUUGAAUGGCACUUUCAGCCUUUGUUAAGGGCAGCUUUGACAAAAGCAAAGAGGUGAAGGAAAGAGCUUCGUUCAGGCCCUGAGGCACCCUGGGUGCCCCAUCCCUCUGCCUCUUUUCCCACAAUGCACCUUCCCAUCUCCACACACGGCUCUCCUUUUGGCUUCAGGGAGGGUUCUGAUGUCUACAUUUCAGAGAGCUGAAAAUAAUGCCAAUAUAUUUCAUAUCUGGCAAGCAAUGAGCCCCUGUGGUUUCAGAUAGUACAUAGGUUGUUGUUGUUUAGUCGUCUGAGUCGUGUUCGACUCUCUGUGACCCCAGGAACCAGAGCAUGCCUUGGAAACUCACUUUCUUCUCAAAGCUUCUCCUUUUUUUUAUGUCCAUGGAGUUUUCUUAGCAAAAUACUGGAGUGGUUUGCCAGUUCCUUCUCCAGGUUGAUCACAUUUAGUCUAAACUCUUCGCUAUGACCUGUCUGUCUUGGGUGGCCCUGCAUGGCAUAGCUCAUAGCUUCAAGCUCCUUUGCCAUGACAAGGUAGUGAUCCAUGAGGGGAGUACAUGGGUAGACAAGUCCAAAAAGCCUGGGACACAAAUUUUUAGUGGACAUAUUGACUCAUUUACCAGAAGUAAUGUAUGGAAGUGUAUACUCGAAUCUGUCCAAACUAAGCCUCCUAUAAGCUUUCCGCCAAUAUCAAUAUAAGUAGUUUAUAGUCACUAUGCAGCAAGGAGAUAGGUUCAUAUUUGUUUACUAGAGUCACAUCUGGAGCAAUCCUAACCAUGUCUACUCAGAAGCAAGUCCUAUUUAAUUUCUCAGGUAGAUGUAAAUAGGAUUACAGCCUCAGUUCUUCCUUGAUUUUUCAUCACUAGACAUCUCGCUUGGCUUCCAGAUAAUUCUGUUAAGUUUUCCACCAGUCAAGAUGCAGUUUUUCUGCAUUUCAAGCCAAGGAAAACAGCUGGGCUUAUAAAUAUUAACAAGGACUGCCUUACUGAAGCAAACUUUGUUCUCAAAAUAGAGGACAUAAUUUUGGCCACAGGGUCUCUCUCCCUCUCUUACUGUGUCCAAGAGCAAAGUGUGUUCAGUUGCUUGUGAUGCUGUAUAUUUGAAAUCUCUAAGGAGAUCACUGACUGACAGAUGUUUUUAUUUCUUAUUGAUUUUUUUUUCUAUUCUGUUAACUGCUGGUAAAAUUCCCAUGAAGAGCCUGAUACAAAACCUGCUGCUAUCAGCAUAAAUUCUUUAAUUUUCUUGGAUCAGCUCAUAAACUGAUGGCUGAGAUUUGCACCUCAUGAAUGUUUUCAGCAAGAAUGGUGUAUUUCAUAGCCCUCACUUGUUGACCCACCAAGCUCAGAAGGAAACAGUGUCUGUGUACACUCUCUAUAUCUAAAACACAUUUCACCCCAAAGAAUCAUGGGAACUGUAGUUUCUUAAGGGUGCUAGGUAUUGUAACUGUGAGGCGAAAACUACAAUUCCCAGGAUUCUUGGAGGUGGGGGUGGUGCUUUAGAUAUACAGUAUACCCAGAAAUUAGAACAAUACAUUUGUAAAGAUGGAGAUAGUUGCUGAGAACUAAAUCAAGCAGUCACUCUCGGAGCCAACCAAUGAAGCAGACUGCAAACGGAGAUUUCCAGCAGCUUCACAAGAAAGUGUAAGAAAAUGCUCUCAGACCCUCCUAGUGUCUCUGUUUUUAAGGGACAGCUCCAGAUUUACAGAACCUAGCAGUUCGAAAGCACCCCUGAGUGCAAGUAGAUAAAUAGGGACCGCUUACCAGCGGGAAGGUAAACGGCGUUCCGUGUGCUGCGCUGGCUCGCCAGAUGCAGCUUGUCACGUUGGCCACGUGACCCGGAAGUGUCUCCGGACAGCGCUGGCUCCCGGCCUAUAGAGUGAGAUGAGCGCACAACCCUAGAGUCUGGCAAGACUGGCCCGUACGGGCAGGGGUACCUUUACCUUUACCUUUACCUUACCAGAUUUACAGAAGUCAUUCCAGUUUCUGAUUUGAUCCCAGAACAUCCCACUUUUCAUUAGGACGUACCAAUUUCAUCAGAGAAAUGUUGGAGGGUAUGGAGUUGUGCAGCCCUUGAGCCAAGGAGUUAAGUAACUAUACAGUGGUGCCUCGCAAGACGAAAUUAAUUCGUUCUGCGAGUUUUUUCGUCUUGCGAAUUUUUCGUCUUGCGAAGCACGGUUUCCCAUAGGAAUGCAUUGAAAAUCAUUGCAAUCAAGAAAGCUUCAAAAUUUAUUUAGAAAAGUAUUGUAAAAUUAAUGAGUAUUAGAAAAAUGUUGGAAUGAAAUUAUUUGGCUUUAGCAGAAAUGUCAAAAAGAAUUAUGAAAGAAUAUGUUAUGGUUAAAAGAAUUUGGGAUAUAUAAGUUUUAAGUUUUAAGUUUUAAGUUUUAAGUUUUAGGGUUUUCUAGGUAAGAUAAGGUUAAAAUAGAUUAAGGGAAUUUAAAUGACAGAAUAUUGUGAAAGAUGGAAAGGAUUUGCUGAGAUAAUUAACAACUAGAAUACAAAAAAGGGAGGUAUGAGGAGGUCGUUGAAAUAAGUUAAUGAAAGUUAAGGAUUUGGGAAUGUUAGACUUGUUUUUUAAUUGUUUGUUUAUUUUUGUUUUUUGAUUUAGAUGUAUUGUGUGUUUUGUUAUUUAUUUAUUUUUUUGACUUUGGUUUUAAUGAUCUGUAUUGUUUAAUUGUUAUGUUUAUCUACUUCUUUCUCUCUUUUUCUCCCUCUCUUGUCUUUUCUUUCUUCUUUCUUUGUAAUUUUAAAAUUCUCAAUAAACAUCAUUUUUU